UACGUAGGGUGCGAGCGUUAAUCGGAAUUACUGGGCGUAAAGCGUGCGCAGGCGGUUCGUUAAGUCUGAUGUGAAAGCCCCGGGCUCAACCUGGGAAUGGCAUUGGAAACUGGCUAGCUGGAGUGUGGCAGAGGGGGGUGGAAUUCCGCGUGUAGCAGUGAAAUGCGUAGAGAUGCGGAGGAACACCGAUGGCGAAGGCAGCCCCCUGGGCCAACACUGACGCUCAGGCACGAAAGCGUGGGGAGCAAACAGG
rnacentral:rRNA from 1 species